rnacentral:rRNA from 1 species
CACGGAGUUAGCCGGUGCUUAUUCGUAUAGUACCUUCAGCUACUCUCACGAGAGUAGGUUUAUUCCUAUACAAAAGAAGUUUACAAUCCAUAGGACCGUCAUCCUUCACGCGGGAUGGCUGGAUCAGGCUCUCACCCAUUGUCCAAUAUUCCUCACUGCUGCCUCCCGUAGGAGUCUGGUCCGUGUCUCAGUACCAGUGUGGGGGAUCUCCCUCUCAGGACCCCUAAAGAUCAUUGACUUGGUGAGCCGUUACCUCACCAACUAUCUAAUCUUGCGCGUGCCCAUCUCUAUCCACCGGAGUUUUCAAUAUUAAAUGAUGCCAUUCAAUAUAUUAUGGGGUAUUAAUCUUCCUUUCGAAAGGCUAUUCCCCUGAUAAAGGUAGGUUGCACACGUGUUACGCACCCGUACGCCGCUCUCAAAGUCCCGAAGGACUUCUACCGCUCGGCUUGCAUGUGUUAGGCCUCCCGCUAGCGUUCAUCCUGAGCCAGGAUCAAACUCU